GAUUUCUGACCUGCAACAUUUGGCCGGCCACGGUUUCGUGUGUUAGUGCUUGAUGUUCUGGCCAUCCUUCCAAUCGCUGCGUCGUCGUCGUCUUCAUUGGCGCGGUGGCGUAGUAUUGGAUCUUUUACUUUGAACAAAUUAGAGUGUUUCAAGCAGGCUUAUUGCUAUGAAUACAUUAGCAUGGAAUAAUAAUCUAGGACUUUCGGUUCUAUUUUGUUGGUGUUCUGGAGCUGAAGUAAUGAUUGAUAGGGAUAGUUGGGGGUGCUAGUAUUCAAUGGCCAGAGGUGAAAUUCUCGGAUUCCUUGAAGACUAACUUAUGCGAAAGCAUU
rnacentral:rRNA from 1 species